GACGAACGCUGGCGGCGUGCUUAACACAUGCAAGUCGAACGGAAAGGCCCUGCUUUUGUGGGGUGCUCGAGUGGCGAACGGGUGAGUAACACGUGAGUAACCUGCCCUUGACUUUGGGAUAACUUCAGGAAACUGGGGCUAAUACCGGAUAGGAGCUCCUGCUGCAUGGUGGGGGUUGGAAAGUUUCGGCGGUUGGGGAUGGACUCGCGGCUUAUCAGCUUGUUGGUGGGGUAGUGGCGUACCAAGGCUUUGACGGGUAGCCGGCCUGAGAGGGUGACCGGCCACAUUGCGACUGAGAGACGGCCCAGACUGGUACGGGAGGCAGCAGUGGGGAAUAUUGCGCAAUGGGCGGAAGCCUGAUGCGGCAACGCCGCGUGCGGGAUGACGGCCUACGGGUGGUAAACCGCUUUCGCCUGUGACGAAGCGUGAGUGACGGUAAUGGGUAAAGAAGCACCGGCUAACUACGUG
rnacentral:rRNA from 1 species